rnacentral:rRNA from 1 species
AAAAAAGGUAAGCUACUAAGAGCGAAUGGUGGAUGCCUUGACUGGUAAAGGCGAUGAAGGACGUACUAGACUGCGAUAAGCUACGGGGAGCUGUCAAGAAGCUUUGAUCCGUAGAUUUCCGAAUGGGGCAACCCAAUGUAUAGAGAUAUACAUUACCUAUAUAGGAGCGAACGAGGGGAAUUGAAACAUCUUAGUACCCUCAGGAAAAGAAAUCAAUAGAGAUUGCGUCAGUAGCGGCGAGCGAAAGCGCAAGAGGGCAAACCCAGUGCUUGCACUGGGGGUUGUAGGACUGCAAUGUGCAAGAGGUAAGUUUAGCAGAACAUUCUGGAAAGUAUAACCAUAGAGGGUGAUAGUCCCGUAUGCGAAAAACAAACCUUAGCUAGCAGUAUCCUGAGUAGGGCGGGACACGAGGAAUCCUGUCUGAAUCUGGGUCGACCACGAUCCAACCCUAAAUACUAAUACCAGAUCGAUAGUGCACAAGUACCGUGAGGGAAAGGUGAAAAGAACUGAGGUGAUCAGAGUGAAAUAGAACCUGAAACCAUUUGCUUACAAUCAUUCAGAGCCCUAUGUAGCAAUACAGGGUGAUGGACUGCCUUUUGCAUAAUGAGCCUGCGAGUUGUGGUGUCUGGCAAGGUUAAGCAAACGCGAAGCCGUAGCGAAAGCGAGUCUGAAUAGGGCGCUUAGUCAGAUGCUGCAGACCCGAAACGAAGUGAUCUAUCCAUGAGCAAGUUGAAGCUAGUGUAAGAACUAGUGGAGGACUGAACCCAUAGGCGUUGAAAAGCCCCGGGAUGACUUGUGGAUAGGGGUGAAAGGCCAAUCAAACUUCGUGAUAGCUGGUUCUCUCCGAAAUAUAUUUAGGUAUAGCGUUGUGUCGUAAUAUAAGGGGGUAGAGCACUGAAUGGGCUAGGGCAUACACCAAUGUACCAAACCCUAUCAAACUCCGAAUACCUUAUAUGUAAUCACAGCAGUCAGGCGGCGAGUGAUAAAAUCCGUCGUCAAGAGGGAAACAACCCAG